UUUUCAAGAUGUUACCCUUGAGAGAAAUUGGUUAAAGGUACCUAGCAUCUCUAUUAAUUCUCAUAACUUCAUGUGAAUUUACAGUAAUCUCAUAAUUUAAAAAUCGAAUUAAAAAAUAGAUACGGAAAAAACAUGUGUUCUAAUGUCCAAGCCACACCUUUGACCUUUAAAUCAAAAUCUCUAAGGGUGGGACUAGGUAUUAAUAUUUAUACAUUUUUUAGAUGAUUCCAGUGUGCAGCCAAGUUUGAAAACCAGUAUCUUAGCCGACUGUGUGGAGCAUGAGAAGCCAGCACAGGAAGCAGUGGAGAGCGCUGGGACUGUACACGUGGUCCAGCCUCAUGUUGAUCCCAUAAGGAGCUCUGGAGUGUGGAGAGCAUGCUGGAAGCCGGGAAAUCAGACUUUUCUACUCUGAAUCAGCCAGGUAUUGACUGAGGGGUUGUUUUUGGGUUUUUGAUGAAUGGGGAGGGGGCGUAACCUCUCAGGCACUGUCGGGCUAGCUGACUUCUGUCUGAUACAAGCAGUUCUCUGGAAAAGUAUCUGG
rnacentral:lncRNA from 1 species